rnacentral:lncRNA from 1 species
UGUGUAUAUUGCACCCCCUUAUCUCCAUUAACAAGCUGACCACUACCUCUGAGCAACCUGCAAGUACAAAAUUUAAUGGGUGAGAGAGAUGGCUACACGGCUCAAUUGACGGUUGGAUUUUAAUCACAAGUCUCAGCAUAAUAGACAAGUAAAAUACUUCUCUUCAGCUUUAAAAUCAAAAUAACUUAUUAAGUGAAAAGAAUAAAAUAGAAAUGAAGAGAUAAGUGUUCAUAUACCAUCUGGUAGUUAGAAGACCUUCGACUCCUACAGGCCCACGUGCAUGAAUCCUGCCUGUGCUUAUUCCCACCUGCAUUUAAUAAAACGAUCAUUUUAGAUGCCUUAAGAAAGGAAGUUCUGAUUGCUACAAAACGAGUCAAAAAAAUGGUUCUAUCCUGCUGAAAAUUCUAUCUAACCCAGAAUCUUUAUCAUAAUCUAAACAAAACUAUGUAUGCAGUACUUAUAUGCGUGUCAAACAUGCUGGAGCAUGACCAUUGAAGACACCAAAAUAAGAAAAAAAAAUUACACAGCCAUGCCAUGAGGAGGUAUAAAAAGUCGAAAGUUACAUGUUCCACCAUCAAUGCACGUAGGAAAGAAGUAUACGCACCUCAGCACCAAGCCCAAAACGAGCACCAUCAGAAAAGCGGGUACUGGCAUUAUGAAAUACAGCGGCACUGCAAAUGAAGCAAGCAGUAUUAUUUAAUGUUACAACAAUGACAGCCUGAAUACAAUACGAACAGUAUUACAAGCAAAAGAGAGAGCGCAAUGAAGGUAUUCGGUCCAUGUUCCAGAGAAGGAUACUCGCAAAGAAGACAUUGAAGAGAAUUAGGUGUUCUGUCAACAAAGUGCGCAUACUUCACUGGAUACACGUAUUUACGUACACCUAAAUAGAAACUACAUACUCAACUACAGCGAGGAACGCGAUGAAAACAUUGAAGGAAGCCGGCCUCUUGUGAAAGAAAGGAUUUACGAAAAGAUAUAAAUUUGCAAAACUUGAACCAGUAAAGUUAAUCCGACCAAUGCAAAAACCAAUAAGGACAGUGAUGCUUG